rnacentral:piRNA from 1 species
UCCACAGUGAAGCCUAUCUCCUGACAGGAA